UACGUAGGGUGCGAGCGUGUCCGGAAUUAUUGGGCGUAAAGAGCUCGUAGGCAGUCUGUCGCGUCGGUCGUGAAAACUUGGGGCUUAACCCUGAGCUUGCGGUCGAUACGGGCAUGACUGGAGUUCGGCAGGGGAGACUGGGAAUUCCUGGUGAUAGCGGUGAAAUGCGCAGAUAUCAGGAGGAACACCUAUGGCGAAAGGCAGCUCUCUGGUACG
rnacentral:rRNA from 1 species